CAUACACUGACGGAGCGAGCGAGUACUCCCUUGGUCGGAAGUGUGAGUUAAUCUUGUUAAACUCCGUCGUGCUGGGGAUAGAGCAUUGCAAUUAUUGCUCUUCAACGAGGAAUCCCUAGUAAGCGCAAGACAUCAGCUUGCGAUGAUUACGACCCUGCCCUUUGUACACACCGCCCGUCGCUACUACCGAUUGAAUGGCUCAGUGAGGCGUCCGGACUGGCCCAGAGAGGUGGGCAACUACCACUCAGGGCCGGGAAGCUCUCCAAACUCGGUCAUUUAGAGGAAGUAAAAGUCGUAACAAGGUCUCCGUUGGUG
rnacentral:rRNA from 1 species